rnacentral:misc_RNA from 1 species
UUAGAUUGUCCGGGGCCCCGUUGCACCGGAACGCAACGGUGCUACGUUUGUUAUCGAGUCGCCGCGCACUGACCACACGUACACACACACACACAUACAAACAGACAUAGACACACAGAAAAGAAGGAAAACGACGAAGGUCGAAGUCGCGAGUGUUGGUUGGGCAGUGCGUUUGUGGUGGUGAUGUGCACGUGCGCCGCUGUAAGCAUCCAUAACCACCACCCCCUUCACUGCCGAUGUUGCGGUCGCUGCCUUUUGUGUUUUGUAGUUUCGUUUCGCUUCUCUUGCUCAAAGUCCGGCGUACCCCCUUCUUCUCCCGGCCCAGACGCGCAAGGCGUCGUACGCGUGUGCGUGUGCCCCUCCUCCUUUCUCUUCCUCUCUGGCCCCUCGUUGCUUUUUUUUCCCCAUGUGUUACUCCCUGUUGCUCUCUGGCCGCUAGAGUAGAUCUUAGUGAUCGCCCGAACACAUACAUAAACACACGCACGUGCACACGCUAGCACUCAUCAGCUGCGGUUAUGCAUGCCGGCCUUUGAUUCUCUGCCAUAGCUCCCCACCAUCUCUUCCUCUCUCACAUUCGCUCUCCGCCCCAUUCCUGCCGACUAGGCGGAGGGGGACGGUGGACGAGUAGAAGCGAUGAACGCCUACUUCUUUAGUCACCACAUGCCCCCGCCGCCUACACCGGCACCGCUGGUGCGGACGGCUGCCAUCGCUGCGGGAGUGCAGCGUCAGGGGCCGCGCCAGUCGACACAACGACAGACACCUACACUCCUCAGUGAAUAUGUGAGAGGGCCGUACAGGAAAGAAGACGAGCGAUGCUGUGGCUUCAAUGAAAAGGCUGUGACGAAGCCAUAUCAUGACGUUGGCGACGCGGCGAUGUGCAACGCCGCCACGCCGCGGGCUGCAUUGCGUGCUGAGCCGGCUGCCAUAGGCUCGAAACCUCGCCCCAAUGCCACCCACACAUCGUCCAGUCUCCGGUCAACUUCACCUGCCGAGUCUCCUGUCGCAGCACCGCCGCAUCGCACCGUUCCAUGCCUCGUCUUAUUCAGUCCACAAGGCCCCCGCCCGCUGGAGGGGCUCAAGACGGUCACCCUGGAGCGUCCCGGCAACGUUGCUGCAGCUGCACCCCGUGGAGGAUAUCUGAGAGCUCGCGGGGCGUCCCUCAACCGACUAUCCGCAGGCGGCCCUCCUCUAUCUGCAUCUGCAGCGGCAGCAUCCAGUACGGCAGCCAGGCAGCGCAAUACGAAGCACGCUGCAGCGUCCGCCGCUGCGCGAGCGUCCCACCAGUCUUCUAGCGGGAUUCGAUGCGUCUACGACCGCGACACACGCUCGCAGUUGUUGCACAUUAUUCCGGGGACGGAGGUUGACUUUUCCUCGUGCAUGCGACUGCCGGCGCUCGCCGCGACACCCGCACCAGCGUCGGGGACGGCUGCCGCGCCUCUGCUGUUCGCGGCCACUGCCGUGCACACCAUUGUGGUGGUGCAGUUUUGCGUAGCUGCUCCUACCCUGUCAACCGCUGCGCAACAUCAGGCGGGUGCAUCGCGGCCGCAGCUGCCGGGGUCACCGAUCCCGCCACCCGGCAGCUUUUACAUUGAGCUCGUCCUCCGCACCGGCACUUCCUCCGAUAGUGCUCGAGGAAGGAUCAGCACUAACGGUGGGGGCAGUAGCGGCAACAGUGGUGGAUACCGGCUGCGCUUCACCAACACCGGGCACGCCGUACAGCGACACACUCACCACACGAAGAUACCCCUGCAGUGUGUGCGCACGGCGCAGUGGGUGCAGCUCUUCGUGGACCUCGAAGCGCUUCUGCAGUCUUGCAAGGCAGCUGGCGCUGUGGUGGCAGGCGGGACGCAUUGCCGAUUGAAGCAGCUGCGUAUCGGCUCGGGUGGCAGCGCCGCCAGCACAGGUGGAGUUUACGUGCGCCGCAUCAUCGCCGGCCACGGGCUCCCACUUCCUUACCCUGCCAUGGACCACCUCGUCACUGCGGAUGGGGUGCCGGGUACGGUGCCUCUCAUGGCCACGCCGAUCGGCGGCACGCAGGAGAUCGUCAGGGACGCCGAUGGAGAGGGGCACAGCGAUCGACGAGGCUCCGGAACACUGCAGCAGCGCAGCAGCGGCAGCGGCAGUUGCUGGGUUCCACCAGAGGCUCUGCGUCUUCCCGCCGAGGCGGGGGAGAGCCUCUGCGUGUUUGUGCGAACGGGAGACGAGCAUAUCCUGAGCGAGGCGCCUGCCCCGCUGGCCCCUGCGGAAGAACCGUCACGAGAGGGCGAGGCGCAUACGAGAGACAGCGACAACAGCAUCGAGGCGACGCAGGUGCGGUGGAAGGCGAACAACUGUGCCGGUGACGUUGGCAGAAGCGCCGUAGAGUGGGCUGGGGACGCGACACAGGACACCGCAAGGCGGCGGGCAGCACAGGCAGUCACAACAGCCGCCAGCAAGCCCCUUACCUUACCGUCGUCUGCCACGCUACCGCCGCACCAGCUACAGCGCCGCCAGCCGAACCCUGAUCAGCAAAAGAACCCCGCCUUGUUAAAUUCGUACCGGCACCAACCUGAGAGCGAGGCCGCAGCAGCACGCGUAUGCAAGAGGCAGCCGGAACCGUCGAAGGUGCUGCACCACACAGCCCUAGAGCUGUUAAGAAUGCGUGAUCAUCAGCAGCAGUCACAGCCUCAGCCCGCACAUCAGUUCACCGGCUCGGGAGCCGCAGCGCACGCGCCGACUUCAGCCGCCCCUCCGUCGGCUUCUUUUCCAUCCUCCGCCUCUCCCCGGUCUUCUCCGGUUGACGGGGCGUCUCUCUCGGCCUCCGACGACGCGGAAAUGUUCGUUGUCCGCGAGGUGUCGGCCGCCGAGCAGCUCGCUCCCGCCACACCGCCGCAGUACCCAGCGAAUCAGCUCAUGACGGGCAAGCCUCCUCUGCGUCGCGCACCGUCGCAGCCGCCGGUUGCCAACAAGGCAACGCAUCACGCGCUGAAUGCAGGACACACGGGUGAGGGGGUGGCGCAGCAAGUGGGAGAGGAUGUCGCGAUAGAGGACGCAGGCCAGGAGGGCUUCUCGGCACCCGCGGCCGUGGGAGCGGCGGGCCUUCUCUUUUCUACGACUAGCAGCGCCACCACGACUACCGCUACAACCUCAGAAACUUCAGUCUUAUCCGUUACGUCCUACUCCUCUGCCGUGGAGUUGAUGGAUGCGAUGAGCGAGCGGGUGCGUCGCAUCCACAUGGUACUGGCGGGGGUGGAAGAGGAGGCGGCCGCUGCUGCUGCCGCUGCUGCCUCCAUCUUUGCCCAGCCGCUCGGCAGGCGCCCACCGUCGCGCCACGUGACGCCACCGCCUACGGCGCAAGGUGCUCGACCUGCCGUCAGCACGGUGACACCGACAGUGCUGCCACUGUUGGUGCCACCGCCACCACUCACAGGCGCUGCUUCAACCCGUUCCUCCCCGUCGCCUCCGUCUGCUCCUGGCCCAACGGCUCCUGCUGAGAUCAUAGAGGCAGUCCUGCGUGAUACGCCGCGCGAUGCGGUGGUCAACACAGCGGCCGUACCCAGCCUGCCGCCAACGCCACCAGCGGCUGCGAUGGCGACGCAAGCAUGCGACAGUGUUGCGCGUGUCGCAGUCGCAGAGUGUGCGGCGACAGCAUCAGCCGCCGCGAACGACGCGAAUGCUAUUCUCGAGUUGUGGAGCUCAGCAGAGAGGCCGCUCUGCUUGUCAGCUUCAUUGCAGCGGCCAGCGACUGCCGCUGUCAAACGUGCCCCACUGGCGGAGCGGCUACGUGCGCACCAGGCGGCUCUCUCUUCGUCUUCCUCGGCCGCUUCUUUUUCCCUCGUCGACGGUAGUGACAACGAUGGCGUCGGUGACGCUCCUUCAGCCGAAAUACCUCCGCCGACAAGCGCUGCCACCUCCUGGACGUUCCGCUCGACCUCCCUGACUCCGCAGACGCCUUCAAUGCUGAGGGUACCCACCGAUUCCGGAGCUGUAGGCGAGGCGCUGCCACGUGCUGGCGGUGCUCCCUCAAGCUACAUGGCUGGUGCGGAGAAGAGUGAGGCGGCUGCACUGCUGCAGCAGGCACCGCGGCUUUUGAGCGAAUCACAAACCCCAUCUCCAGAGGUAGUAGCGGCUGUGGUGCCACAGCUGAAGUCGUCAUCUGGUCAAGUUACAAAGGCAGUUGUGUGGCGCCGUCCCGUCACAGAGCCUGGCCAUUCCCCGUCCGUCGGUGACGCUACUCAGCGCGCGUUGCAGGAUGAAGUUCGACUCACGGACACCCCACUACCGGGGCGGGUACGUUCCCCUGGAGCGGAGAGCGGUGCUGCAGGACGCCUAGCGACCUGGUCCGCCAGGCAGAACGCCGGUCCCACCUCCUCGGGCAUGCACACCCCCCUCUCGGCCGCCGCCGCUAGUAAAUUGGGCGUUGCGUCACAGCAGGAGAGCCUUCAGGGCUUCAUCGAGGGUGCACAGCUCUGCGUAGGCGUGCAGGCCCCUCCCCCGCCUCCGAGCGGCCGCAGCUUCAGUACCGUGAGCAGCUUUCAAAUGUGGCUGCCUUCCUCCUCAAUGCCCACGCUGUCAGCGAGUCGUGGCCGUUACCCCUCCACGAUCACACCGUUCAGUGGCGGUGGCGAUCGACACUGCGAUCCUCUCUCUGACUCCUCCUCCGGCGCUGGCGGUGGUCCGCGACCGCCUCGCCUCGGCAUCGCAGCUGCAUACCCCUCUGCGCAUCCAUCUAUGCCAUCUCCGUCCGUCGUGCACAUGCCCCAGGCCGCCACUGCAGCGACAUUACCCACUUACCAUGCUGGGGCAGCGGUGGGGCCAUCGCCACUCGCUCAGCAGCAGACGCUCGGCUUUCCCGCAGCCGCUUCGACUCGUGAUCCAGUGCAACAUACACCCGUUUCUCAUCAUGAAGCUCUUGCGAACGACGUGCCGCUCUCCGCAGAGCGCGGCAACGGGGAGGGUCGGUACAUGUACGACUGCGUACUGCAGUGCUACCUGGAUCUGGAGACGAACGCUUACGUGGACAGGACGUAAGCUCUUGUACGGACUUGGAGUGCGAGGUGCCCCUCGCGGCGGCAUUCGUUGUGAGGAGCGCCUGUUGGAUCUUCCCCACGCCCUCUCUCGCUUCACAUGCGUGUGUGUCUCGGCUACCCCGCCUCGAAGAGACACCGGUGCUCAACCUAACCAUGACAGUUCUCGAGUGACUCCUGUGUGUGCAUGCUUGCGUGCUGCUGUGUGCAUCACCCCCGCCCCCCUCCCUCUUUCUCUCCUUGUGGGAGAAAGCCAGGCGGUCCCGCCCCCGCCCUAUCCCCAGCCAAAUGCCGAGCCGCCCCUCUGGUGGCCACAGGGCCAAGCACCGGCGACGCGCGGGGGCCAGAGCGAUGCACGGCGACUGAUGUCGGCGGUCAGGUCGUGGAUGGCGCGGCGCCGGAGCGGCCAGCGACCGCGAGCACGCUUGUGCCGCCGACAUGACAAGCCGAGUGCCGGCGUGGCUCGAAGGCAUCUGCCACCCGGCCCUCGCUGCCCACUGGUGGAGGGAGCCUGCGCCACCGCGAGGGGGGUGCACCGGGGGCGGUGGCCGGCAUGACGGGAGCGGCUGUGAGGCUGCCUGCGGAGUGGGGUGUGGGUGGAGUCCGCUGCCGAGGCCGUGCUCUCAGAUGGCUGAGCCGGCGCACUGCUGCACCGGCGUGCGCCUAGGGCUGCGCCGCGCCACGCGACGGGUGGCCUGUGGCAGCGCCGGGGAGGCUCGAGGGCGGAGGUGGACCUCGCGUUGCCUGGCAGAGGAGUGGACUCACAUUGGAAUAGAAGAAAUGCGACAGACGUGUGGCCUUCCUGCGCGUUACUUCCUCGGCUCUCUCGGUCCCCCGUGGGACUCCACCUCUCUCUUGGUCCUCUCUGCUCCUUUUAUGACGCUCUCGACGGCUUGGCCAAAG